rnacentral:rRNA from 1 species
AUUGAACGCUGGCGGCAUGCCUUACACAUGCAAGUCGAACGGCAGCGGGGAGCUUGCUCCUGCCGGCGAGUGGCGAACGGGUGAGUAAUGCAUCGGAACGUGUCCUGUUGUGGGGGAUAACUGAUCGAAAGAUCAGCUAAUACCUCAUGAGACCUGAGGGUGAAAGCGGGGGAUCGCAAGACCUCGCGCGACAGGAGCGGCCGAUGUCUGAUUAGCUAGUUGGUGAGAUAAAAGCUUACCAAGGCGACGAUCAGUAGCUGGUCUGAGAGGAUGAUCAGCCACAUUGGGACUGAGACACGGCCCAGACUCCUACGGGAGGCAGCAGUGGGGAAUUUUGGACAAUGGGGGAAACCCUGAUCCAGCCAUGCCGCGUGCGGGAUGAAGGCCUUCGGGUUGUAAACCGCUUUUGUCAGAGACGAAAAGGGACGUACGAAUAAUACGUUCCGCUGACGGUAUCCGAAGAAUAAGCACCGGCUAACUACGUG